ensembl:lncRNA
GUUCGAGAUGAAAUUGUGAAACUCAUUUCAUCUAAGGGAUCCAAAAGCGAAAGCAAGACGAACCUGACUUCACGUCAAAAGUGAAGGGAUUAAACUAGAAUAGAUCGAGGGCUGAAGAUGUACCAAUUUUACAGCAGGAGUACACAAUGCGACAGACACAAUGGAGACACACACAAUGGAGAGCAACAGACACAAUGGACCUGCAGGAUGCUGCACAGCACAAUAAGUUCAUCACAGAAGAUAAUAGAGACUCAUUUAGCAAAUAUCCGACACCACUAGCAUCCAUGCUGCAGUAAACGCUUUGCAUUAGCAGGUUCAGGUCAAGUGAUUUGAUGGAGUUCCCUUACUGACAGCAGAUUUUAAUUUAAAUUAGAUCUCUUUGUCAAAGAGCUGAUACUGUGUGCUUUAUAUAUACACACGUUUUCACCUUUUCAUGCCUUUUACCUGUAGUUUUGCUUUGUGUUCUUUUGCUAUUCUGAAAGCAGUCUCCCUGCAGUAAUAUAAUUGUUCAAAGUAUAUAUAUAUUGUACAAAGUAUGUUUUUUUCUUCCUAAACAUAGAAUGGACACUUAUACAGUUAAUAAAAUUGUCAAUAAUACCUAGCAAAAUAUUUUCCAGUUUGCACUUUCUGCAUUUAGCGUAUGGUAAAAAUGUCAGCGAAAACAUGUUUAUGAAAAACAUAUGGGAUUUGUUUGUGUUUAUUUAUGAACAUAGAAUAUAAUUGCACACAGAAUUUCACAAAUUACCAAAUAAACCCAUAUU